AAUGAAGGGAGUUCAGCUCAUACAACACACUUUCAAUAGGGUACUGUACUCUAUAUUUCCAGGUUCUGUUUUAAUUACACUUGCAUAUUACCUUGGAGGAAGCUGAAAUCUGGAAAAUGUUUUCUCAUAUACCAUGUCUUAAACCUUCCUGACCUUCUGUUUUAUACCAAGUACAUUUAUGCUUGCGAUCAAAACCAUAUAAUAUGGGGAAGGGCUUGGCUAUCCGGAGUAAUCUAUCAGGGGCAUGCUGUCAGUCCCCCCUAGCAAAGACUGAGCAAUUCUCACUGAGAAACACCCCCACCACCAUCCAGCAGUAAGUCCCUCUUCCCCCUUCACGCACUCCCAGCAAGAGCUACAGGAGUGGGCCAGGCUGGGAGCAGGGCAGCAAGCAGCCUUUCCCUGCGGUGGCUGGGGCUCCUGCUGCUCUGAAGCAUCCUGGAGGGACUAAGCAAUGGGAUGGCUCACAUAGCAUCAGUGCAUUGCCCGUACCGCAAUAAGAACAUCAGUGCCUCCUACCACUGCUGGGCUGGGGAGGUGAGCAGCAUCCACACUGCCAGCACUGGAGGCUGCAGUGCCGAACGCAGCUUGACGCCCAGCACCGAGGUCUGCUUGUGACAGCCAGCGUUCUCCAGGGAGAGCAGGGUGCCUGUGAGCACUGCUGACUGGAUAACAAAACCCAUACCAAUCACAUCUCUGUUACAGAGCAGCAUUCAUGUCACCUUCAGAUCCAUGACAACGGGAGCGCAUAUUGAUCUUCACAUCUCUACGUGUCUGGAGAGUGCCCCAAGAAAAACGGGUUUAGCAAAUACGUGUUUGCAGGAGAGGAUCUGUCAGUCCUCUGCCCAAGGCUUGGUCAGCAUUUUGGAAGUACAGACUGCUGUCUUUAAUCCCUUGCUGAAGAGCUCUCUCCCCCUGGCAGCCCAGGAAGGUGUUGAGAAAUGCUGCCAGGCACCGGUCUGCUCCCGGGGCUGCUGCUGACACAGCUCGUGAGCUGCUGCCUUGUCUCAGCACCUCGUCCUAAAAAACAAGGCAACUUUUACUUCUAACAGGAAUAAAAUAAAUCCUGUCAG
rnacentral:lncRNA from 1 species